GGAAAAGCUCCGCUCCCUCCCUCACUCCCGCCCAGCCCUCCCCCUGGCGUGGUCCGGUUCACAGCGGGUGGGGUGCUGCGGCGGCCGGUUGUCACUAUGUAAGAUGACGGCUGCUACUAGGGUCGUUCAGGUAAUCAAGCCACAUACUCUAUUAAGUACCCGGGCAGAAAAAGUAGUCCCAGACCUAAAAGUAAGUAUUUCAUCUAUAAAUAAAACUUGCACCACAUUUAUUUGCAUUACCUGUUUUAUACAAGAACCAGCACACGCUUUUUCUGCUUCGACUAAAUGACAACUGAUUUUGAGUAGGGUUUCUGAAACUGUUUGUUUUAGUUUGUAGGUAACUUUUUGACUCUUCAGACUCUCUACAACUGUGGGAAUACAUAUAAUACAUGCAUGUCUUUAUUUCUUGGUUAAGAUUCCCAAAGAUUUCCAGUGUUGUUUUCCUACUUACACAUUUCUGCAAGUACUAAUAUUUACCUGAGGUAAUUGUGCCAAAGUCAGUUUGAAGCAGCCUUAGGCAUUCAAUGAAAUUUGCAGAAAUAAUGUUGCAUUUUCCUUAUUCCUUCUUUUCCUAAUUGGAGUGUGCAAUGUCUGU
rnacentral:lncRNA from 1 species